rnacentral:sRNA from 1 species
UUUUUCUUUCUUUCUUUUCUU